CCUCGGUUCGUGUCUUGCUUUGAAAACCCUGCGGGGUUGCUGGAAGUCGGCUGCGACUUGACGGACUCUCCAGCGCUUAAAAGGCACAAUCAGGAAACGUCCCGGGGGCGCUCCUUAAACACUAGAUGCUGACAUCUGGGCAUCUGUUCUUACCUUUAAACAUCUGAAUACAACAAUUAGUUGUUUUAAAUGGUUUUCCAGCCUUUGACCUCUUUUAUUGCACUACCCUGAUGUUUUAAAAACGAAGAGGAAGGGAGGUGGUUCAUUCUUUAAAGGUGCCUGUGUCGUAGAUAACUUAUACUGGCAUGCAUGGGCUCCUAAAAUACGUGUAUAAUAGUAACUUGUGCAUUUAUUUGCAAGUUUUCAAAAUGACUUCCUUUGGUAAUUGGUAGCUCCCACUUGCAGUAUGAUUGUUUGUACUUUUUUCUCUUAUUUCCUUUUAGCAAUAUGCCAUGGUGGGGUCUCUAGUGACCCCAUCCUAUGAAAGUACAACAUUGCUGUCCCCCGGCACCUCAUGCCUGUCCAAGCCUGGGUGGAAUCCUUGAAGCAUUAUGAUGCCAAAUAUGAGGGUUUGACAGAUCUGUGUUUGCAUUAAUGCCCUGCAUUGAUAUCUUGCAUGCUGUGGCUAUUUGGCAGAAGAACUUCAAAAGAAUUUGUUUGGCCACGCCCCUGAGGAAGAUUCUGUUCGAAAUCUGAGCUUUUCAGCCGGCCCCAGAUUGGGUGUGCAGCCGUGGAUUCCCUUACCAUGUGUGGA